rnacentral:tRNA from 3 species
GGGCGGAUAGCUCAGCGGUAGAGCACCUGCUUUACACGCAGGGGGUCACAGGUUCGAGACCUGUUCCGCCUACCA